rnacentral:rRNA from 1 species
UACGUAGGUGGCAAGCGUUGUCCGGAUUUAUUGGGUUUAAAGGGUGCGUAGGCGGUCUAUUAAGUCAGGGGUGAAAGACUGCAGCUCAACUGUAGCAGUGCCUUUGAUACUGAUGGGCUUGAGUACAGAUGAGGCCGGCGGAAUGGGUGGUGUAGCGGUGAAAUGCAUAGAUACCAGCCAGAACACCGAUUGCGAAGGCAGCCGGCUAAACUGUAACUGACGCUGAGGCACGAAAGCGUGGGGAUCGAACAGG